GUGUUCAAAACGUCAUAUCCCACAUCACAGCAGUCAACAAUUGUUAAGUAUUCAUGCCAGCUGAAUGUAGAAGCCAUUGAACCACAGUCUGGUAAAUAAAGAGAUCUUCCUCUGUUUUGAUUUGCUUAUGCACAAGUGUGUAUUUUUCAGUGGCAAUCAGCAGUGUCCUUGGAAAGUUGGGUUGUGCUAUUAAAGCGUCCACAAGCGUCAACAAGUUGUACACAUAUUUUUAAGUUGAAAAAAAAGAUGUUCACAGUUCUCAGUGGGCUCCUAAUUAAAUUUUUUUUUCCAACGUAUAACAAUAUUUAAAAUUAUGUUUAAAAGUUUACCUUUAGGCAAAAAAGUGCAACAAUGGUGCCGUUUUUUCAGCGAAACUGACCGCUAUCCUGUUUUUCUGGGAUAUGUUAUGUGCAAAACCAUGUGCAAAACAAAUUGCCGCCGAAAAAAAAGGACCGUAAAUUGUUGAGCUAAAAGAUCCUUUUUUUUUUGUGGGAUUGUGAACGUGAAUUUCUCCUAUUUCUUACGUAAUACAAGUAUGAAAGUCUAUUGAAUAUGAUUAUAGCUUUUUUGAAGCUCAAAAGUACAUUUUGAGCUCGUUUAUGUUUUGUUGGCACUAAUCGUGUUUGUUGAUGCUUGUUGACGCUUAUUAGCAUGACCGGACUGCUUAGUACUUACUGUACUAAGGAAACCAGGGUUUCGCGUGAAGAUUUUUGGAGAUUCGAUUACCAGAUUCCCGCCCCAUUAUCUCGACUUGUUUGUUCCAGAAUUAUUACAAAACCAGAGAGCACCAUUUUGCGUCUCGCGAAACCUUGCUCAAGACAUUUCACUUUUAGUGAUGAGCCGCAUCUUGUACAGGCUGAUGACCAGGCGCAGAUGCAUCGAAUGUCAGCCUGAACAUGCUGAAGUGCCACCUCCGUGUGCUCCACUUGAAGUGGUAGACCCUCAUCAACACCCUGAAUCCCCCAGAUGCCCCCGCCUUCAAAAAUGCCACCUACUGCCAAGUCUCCAAAGGAUUCUGCAAGCUUCAUCAAGACAAGUGAGACGUCACAAGAUGCCAUCCAAGUCAGCCGUAAAGAUGAAGCUGUCUCGAUAUAAAAUAUACUUGGAUGGAGACGAGGAAGAAAAUGAUUUUUUUUUGUAGGUGUAUUGGGUUUUCUCGAAAGGUGUUUCCCACCCAUGCUCUUCCAAUAUCUCCUCAGUCAGUCUGCAGCAAUUUCAUACCUUACUUGCUUUCUCCUUCAUCAUUUCCAAGUGUUGCGUCUCUCCAUCCACUCCAGCUACACACCAGAAAAGUCUAGGGAAAAAAAUUAAUCUCUGUGUGCAUUUUACGCUUUUAAACAGUGUAGGCCUAGAGCAAUUUCCUCUCACAAUUUUUUGAUGUUUUUAAUACUUGUUUUUCAGUUGAUUAUAAAGAGGACAUCUAUGAUUUCCCACUUUGUAAAAUUCAUUAAAAGUUAUUGUGAAAGCAA
rnacentral:lncRNA from 1 species